rnacentral:rRNA from 1 species
GACAAACGCUGGCGGCGCGCCUAAUACAUGCAAGUCGAACGACGAAAGCCUUCGGGCAAGUAAGAGUGGCGCACGGGCGAGGAACACGUAGAUAAUCUGCCCUUCAGUGGGGAAUAACUCUCCGAAAGGAGUGCUAAUACCGCAUAAGACCACAAGCUCUGCGGAGCAAGGGGUUAAAGGAUUUAUUCGCUGAAGGAUGAGUCUGCGUCCGAUUAGCUAGUUGGUGAGGUAAUGGCUUACCAAGGCAAUGAUCGGUAGAUGGUCUGAGAGGAUGAUCAUCCGCACUGGAACUGAGACACGGUCCAGACUCCUAUGGGAGGCAGCAGUAGGGAAUAUUGCACAAUGGGGGAAACCCUGAUGCAGCAACGCCGCGUGAGUGAUGAAGGCUCUAGGGUCGUAAAGCUCUGUCGUAUGGGAAGAAAAAAAUGACGGUACCAUACAAGAAAGGACCGGCCAACUUCGUGCCAGCCGCCGCUGUAA